UACGAAGGGGGCUAGCGUUGCUCGGAAUUACUGGGCGUAAAGCGCACGUAGGCGGCUUUGUAAGUUAGAGGUGAAAGCCCGGGGCUCAACCCCGGAAUUGCCUUUAAGACUGCAUCGCUAGAAUUGUGGAGAGGUAAGUGGAAUUCCGAGUGUAGAGGUGAAAUUCGUAGAUAUUCGGAAGAACACCAGUGGCGAAGGCGACUUACUGGACACA
rnacentral:rRNA from 1 species